GGAAUCUUCCACAAUGGGCGAAAGCCUGAUGGAGCAACGCCGCGUGUGUGAUGAAGGCUUUCGGGUCGUAAAGCACUGUUGUAUGGGAAGAACAGCUAGAAUAGGAAAUGAUUUUAGUUUGACGGUACCAUACCAGAAAGGGACGGCUAAAUACGUGCCAA
rnacentral:rRNA from 1 species